UUUGUGCUUUGUAAUCCAAGUCUUCUGAAUUCAUACAACUGCCAGUAACAAAUCCAAAUUCAACCCUUUAUUCAGCGAUCAUCUUUCAUCCUCAGCAACGACCGUAUAAACAUCAAAGCCCGCACUGAUUCGUUCGUCCAAAUUCAAAAUGUACCACUUCAAUUAACUACGACGGUAAAAUCGAACGCUCAUUGGUCCUCGCCUGCUUCGUCACAGAUUGCGACAGCAGUGUUCCUGUCUAGGUGUGUUUGAAUGAUGCGCGCUUUCACAAAGUGAAUCAGGAGGAUGGUCUGAGUAAUAUUUUUAGCGAUUAAAAACUUAAAUUGUGCUCUGUACCUCACACCAAACUAUUGUAUUUCACCUGCGGUGGCAACGCAGCAUCAUUUGGACUACUUUUGACCUGGCCAUGUACCCUGCCCUCUUCAUACAGGUUGUCAUGAUGUCAUUACAGAAGGCAGCCGAAGAACAACUUGGGACACCUCCUGAAAAGACAGUGACUCACACGCACACACACACACACACACACACACACACACACACACACACACACACACUAAAUAUAUAAUUAAUAUAAAUCAAUAUGUUCUUGUUACUGUUUUCCAUUAUUUGGACACAUUUUGAUGCUUUACUGUGGAAAUUAUCAUAUCAAUAAAGCCAAUUUGAAAAUAAUUGAAUUGACUGAUAGUUUCCUGUAAUGUGUUACU